GAAUUCAACUCCUACGGGAGGCAGCAGUGGGGAAUAUUGCACAAUGGGCGAAAGCCUGAUGCGGCGACGCCGCGUGGGGGAUGACGGCCUUCGGGUUGUAAACCCCUUUCAGUAGGGAAGAAGCGAGAGUGACGGUACCUGCAGAAGAAGCGCCGGCUAACUACGUGCCAGCAGCCGCGGUAAUACGUAGGGCGCAAGCGUUGUCCGGAAUUAUUGGGCGUAAGGAGCUUGUAGGUGGCUUGUCGCGUCUGCCGUGAAAACCCGAGGCUCAACCUCGGGCGUGCGGUGGGUACGGGCAGGCUAGAGUGUGGUAGGGGAGAAUGGAACUCCUGGUGUAGCGGUGAAAUGCGCAGAUAUCAGGAAGAACACCGAUGGCGAAGGCAGGUCUCUGGGCCAUUACUGACACUGAGAAGCGAAAGCAUGGGUAGCGAACAGGAUUAGAAACCCUAGUAGUCCAGGCGUU
rnacentral:rRNA from 1 species